UACGUAGGGUGCAAGCGUUGUCCGGAAUUAUUGGGCGUAAAGAGCUCGUAGGCGGUUCGUCGCGUCGGCUGUGAAAACCUGAGGCUCAACCUCAGGCCUGCAGUCGAUACGGGCGGACUUGAGUACUGCAGGGGAGACUGGAAUUCCUGGUGUAGCGGUGAAAUGCGCAGAUAUCAGGAGGAACACCGAUGGCGAAGGCAGGUCUCUGGGCCACUACUGACGCUGAGAGGCGAAAGCAUGGGGAGCGAACAGG
rnacentral:rRNA from 1 species